rnacentral:rRNA from 1 species
CAAAGAUUAAGCCAUGCAUGUGACUACUGGAUGAAUC